rnacentral:misc_RNA from 1 species
UUAAGUUCAGCGGGUAUCCCUACCUGAUCCGAGGUCAAACUGUGGAAGUGGGCUUGAUGGACGCUAAUCCGCCGGUACCUCAAGAAGCGCAAUGUGCUGCGCGAGAAGCUGGCAUGACCGCUGCCAAUACCUUUGGGGCGAGUCCGCGCACGAAGCGGGACAGACGCCCAACACCAAGCAGAGCUUGAGGGGGUAAAUGA